rnacentral:rRNA from 1 species
GCCUAUGGCCAUACCACCCUGAACGUGCCUGAUCUCGUCUGAUCUCAGAAGCUAAGCAUGGUUGGACCUGGUUAGUACUUGGAUGGGAGAAAUUUAGGGACAGAGAGAUCACUUUUGGAU